UAAUGACUGGGGUGAAGUCGUACAAGGUAGCCGUACCGGAAGGUGCGGCUGGAUCACCUCCUAACAGGGAGACAAAACUGAUUAUGAUGUUUGAAUUAUUUAGCUUCAAGCCAUAAUCCUGUCACCUUAGGUCGAUCGGUACCUCAGUUUGAUAUUUAAAAACUAUUAAAUUCAGUUCCUAAACUUUGUCUAGGUCACACCCAGCAAGGGUACUCCUGGGCCAUUAGCUCAGGUGGUUAGAGCGCACCCCUGAUAAGGGUGAGGUCCCUGGUUCAAGUCCAGGAUGGCCCAUUCGGUGUUGGGGGUAUAGCUCAGUUGGUAGAGCGCCUGCUUUGCAAGCAGGAUGUCAGCGGUUCGAGUCCGCUUACCUCCACUGAUCGACCUUCUGAAAUCGAAGCUUAUGGAGAUCUUUCCUUCGAUGUGAUCUAGAAUUUGUUCCUGAAUACUUUGAACCCAGCUUCUUAUCAUUCCAACUAAUCAAAUUAUUACUUUGGUUUGGUUGAUACGACGCUGGGCUCCCCUGCAAUUUAAUUUGCGGAGAAGUUCAAUAGAACCUUGACAACUGCAUAGGUGAGUCUGGAAAAAAUAAAGCAUCUCAUGGAUGAAUUAUUUUUCUGAACACAUGAGAUACGUGUUUUGAUUUAAUCAAAACAUUAAUUUAGAUGUGUUUGAAAUAAUAAUUUUGAUUCUUGAGCAAGAGCCGAGACUUUAUGACGUUAUUUCUUUGUUAAAUUCAUUGAGACUUGGAUCUUUAAUUCAAAUUUAUUAGGUAUUCAAUUUUAGAUUUUUUCUAAUAAAUGAAGCUUGAUUUUAUAUUUGGAUUGAAGAAAUAUUUAACGUUAUAAAGGUUUAAUGGUCAAGCUACAA
rnacentral:misc_RNA from 1 species